UGAGAGUCUAGCACUUCUUUGUGCUAACAUAGCCCCUAUAGCUUCGUCAGUGAUUGAUAAAUAGAGGAGAAGUGGCUUUCCGGGUCUUGAAGGCUGAAAUACUAGAGGGUUGAUUAAAAUAAGCUUUGAUUUGUUCAAAGGCUUUCUGACAUUGGUCAUCCCAAGUCUUUAGGGCAUCUUUCCUCAACUUCUUGAAGAUCGGUCCACAAGUAUCUG
rnacentral:lncRNA from 1 species